GCCCAGAUAGCUCAGUUGGUAGAGCAGGGGACUGAAAAUCCCCGUGUCGGUGGUUCGAUUCCGCCUCUGGGCACCA
rnacentral:tRNA from 5 species